AGGAACGGGGAUCCCCUGAUCAAGGCUGGUCUAUACUCGCUAUGGGAAGUGUUACACCUUCAACGCGGACCCGCGGAGCUUGCUGCCCAGCCGGGCAGGGGGCAUGGGCAGUGGCCUGGAGAUCAUGCUGGACAUCCAGCAGGAGGAGUACCUGCCCAUCUGGAGGGAGACAAAUGAGACGUCGUUUGAGGCAGGUAUUCGGGUGCAGAUCCACAGCCAGGAGGAGCCGCCCUACAUCCACCAGCUGGGGUUUGGGGUGUCCCCAGGCUUCCAGACCUUUGUGUCCUGCCAGGAACAGCGGCUGACCUACCUGCCCCAGCCCUGGGGCAACUGCCGCGCAGAGAGUGAGCUCAGGGAGCCUGAGCUUCAGGGCUACUCGGCCUACAGUGUGUCUGCCUGCCGGCUGCGCUGUGAAAAGGAGGCCGUGCUUCAGCGCUGCCACUGCCGGAUGGUGCACAUGCCAGGCAAUGAGACCAUCUGCCCACCAAAUAUCUACAUCGAGUGUGCCGACCACACACUGGGUCCGUGCUGCCUACCCUUUCCUACCUCUCCAUCAGCCUCUUCAUGUCUGUCCACUCUUCUCCUCACUGUCUUGGAUCCUCCCCUCCCAA
rnacentral:sRNA from 1 species